rnacentral:rRNA from 1 species
CCCUUAGAUGUCCUGGGCCGCACGCGCGCUACACUGAUGCAUGCAACGAGUUUAUAACCUUGGCCUGAAAGGUCUGGGUAAUCUUUUGAACGUGCAUCGUGAUAGGGAUAGAUUAUUGCAAUUGUUAAUCUUGAACGAGGAAUUCCUAGUAAACGCGAGUCAUCAGCUCGCAUUGAUUACGUCCCUGCCCUUUGUACACACCGCCCGUCGCACCUACCGAUUGAAUGGUUCGGUGAAGAUCUCGGACUUCGAUAUUUAUUCUUUAUUGAGUUUAUAUUGUGGGAAGUUGUCUAAACCUCAUCAUUUAGAGGAAGGUGAAGUCGUAACA